rnacentral:rRNA from 1 species
GACGAACGCUGGCGGCGUGCUUAACACAUGCAAGUCGAACGGAAAGGCCCUGCUUUUGUUGGGUGCUCGAGUGGCGAACGGGUGAGUAACACGUGAGUAACCUGCCCUUGACUUUGGGAUAACUUCAGGAAACUGGGGCUAAUACCGGAUAGGAGCUCCUGCUGCAUGGUGGGGGUUGGAAAGUUUCGGCGGUUGGGGAUGGAAUCGCGGCUUAUCAGCUUGUUGGUGGGGUAGUGGCUUACCAAGGCUUUGACGGGUAGCCGGCCUGAGAGGGUGACCGGCCACAUUGGGACUGAGAUACGGCCCAGACUCCUACGUGAGGCAGCAGUGGAAAGUAUGGCACAGUGGGCGGAAGCCUGAUGCAGCAACGCCGCGUGCGGGAUGACGGCCUUCGGGUUGUAAACCGCUUUCGCCGGUGACGAGGCGUGAUUGACGGUAAUGGGUAAAGAAGCACCGGCUAACUACGUG